rnacentral:rRNA from 1 species
ACACGGUCCAGACUCCUACGGGAGGCAGCAGUGGGGAAUAUUGGACAAUGGGGGCAACCCUGAUCCAGCCAUGCCGCGUGUGUGAAGAAGGCCUUCGGGUUGUAAAGCACUUUUGUUCGGGAAGAAAAGCCACUGAUUAAUACCUGGUGGUCAUGACGGUACCGAAAGAAUAAGCACCGGCUAACUUCGUGCCAGCAGCCGCGGUAAUACGAAGGGUGCAAGCGUUACUCGGAAUUACUGGGCGUAAAGCGUGCGUAGGCGGUUUGUUAAGUCUGUCGUGAAAGCCCCGGGCUCAACCUGGGAAUGGCGAUGGAAACUGGCGAGCUAGAGUACGGUAGAGGAGAGUGGAAUUCCCGGUGUAGCAGUGAAAUGCGUANAGAUCGGGAGGAACAUCAGUUGCGAAGGCGGCUCUCUGGACCAGUACUGACGCUGANGCACGAAAGCGUGGGGAGCAAACAGGAUUAGAUACCCUGGUAGUCCACGCCCUAAACGAUGCGAACUGGACGUUGGGAGCAAUUA